CCUACGGGAGGCAGCAGUAAGGAAUAUUGGUCAAUGGACGCAAGUCUGAACCAGCCAUGCCGCGUGAAGGAUUAAGGCCCUCUGGGUUGUAAACUUCUUUUAUAGGGGACGAAAAAAGGGCAUUCUUGCUCACUUGACGGUACCCUAGGAAUAAGCACCGGCUAACUCCGUGCCAGCAGCCGCGGUAAUACGGAGGGUGCAAGCGUUAUCCGGAUUUACUGGGUUUAAAGGGUGCGUAGGUGGGUUGGUAAGUCAGUGGUGAAAUCUUCGAGCUUAACUCGGAAACUGCCAUUGAUACUAUCAAUCUUGAAUCAUCUAGAGGUAAGCGGAAUAUGUCAUGUAGCGGUGAAAUGCUUAGAUAUGACAUAGAACACCAAUUGCGAAGGCAGCUUACUAUGGAUGUAUUGACACUGAGGCACGAAAGCGUGGGGAUCAAACAGGAUUAGAUACCCUGGUAGUCCACGCCCUAAACGAUGGAUACUCGACAUUUGUGAUAUACUAUAAGUGUCUGAGCGAAAGCAUUAAGUAUCCACCUGGGAAGUAACGACCGCAAGGUUGAAACUUCAAAGGAAUUGACGG
rnacentral:rRNA from 1 species